UGGGGAAUCUUAGACAAUGGGCGCAAGCCUGAUCUAGCCAUGCCGCGUGAGCGAUGAAGGCCUCAGGGUUGUAAAGCUCUUUCAGAUGGGAAGAUAAUGACUGUACCAUCAGAAGAAGCCCCGGCUAACUCCGUGCCAGCAGCCGCGGUAAUACGGAGGGGGCUAGCGUUGUUCGGAAUUACUGGGCGUAAAGCGCACGUAGGCGGACUGGAAAGUCAGAGGAGAAAUCCCAGGGCUCAACCUUGGAACUGCCUUUGAAACUCCCAGUCUUGAGGUCGAGGGAGGUAAGUGGAAUUCCGGGUGUAGGGGUGAAAGUCGUAGAUAUUCGGGGGAAAACCAGUGGCGAAGGCGGCUCACUGGCUGGAAACUGACGCUGAGGUGCGAAGGCGUGGGGAGCAAAC
rnacentral:rRNA from 1 species